AAUUGGCUACAACCCUGACACAGU
rnacentral:piRNA from 1 species